rnacentral:lncRNA from 1 species
CCACCCACGAAGGCACGAAUCAAAGAUAAAGAAAAUUUGAUACUAUGCAAAUUUAUUGUCAGAUGUGAAAAAUUGGAUAAAGACACCGAAUUAGGCAAUGUCUUUCGAGUGGAUUCGUCAUUGGGCUAGUCAUCACUAGAAAAGAAAAAAGAACAAAAAUUGGAAAAUGUGUCCUUGUACCGCUUGUACCUUCGUGUGUCUUCUGUGGUUAAUGACUAUCUCUAUCUGCAACCAUUCCGCAGUCGUUCAUGCAUGAUUCCGUUCAGUAAACAGCGGGAGGCUCGGACUAAACUUGAAAUAGGCAUAAGACCACGUCCAGGUUUCUUGGCCGACUUAAAAAACGUACAAAAAAAUUAAUGCACGAACGGUUAUUUUAGUUCAUUCAAUCUGAACGAAUCGAUUCUAAGCUAAUUUCCUACAGUAAUUAUAUGGAAACUGGAUGAGAUAAUCCCCUUUUAGCUAUCACGAUUCCAACAUUCCAUCUCUGUACGUAGGUAACAUUCUCAUCUGCAAGUUGAACGUAAAGCCCUAAAAGUGCAUUGGCACUUUUUCUUUUGAACACAGACAUUUUACUUCUAUGCAUGAUUAUGUCAAUUACCCAGAUAGCUUUUCGUUAUUCUAUUCGGUGCUGGAGAUACUGUAAUAUUACAAAAAUGCCCUUGAGCACCUUAUCUAAUUUAUUCAACAAACCAGAGCCACGAUGUCAUGCCAUAGACGAAAGUUAUCAAUAACUGCUUUUGCAUAUGGACAUAUCUCAUUCCUAAUAAAGAACAUUACCAAUUAUUAUACAGAGAGUUGUCCUUUCAUCGAAAAGUCCUUUUUCCUAUCGAACUUCUGGAAAGGGUCACAACAAAGACACUGCUGCCGAACAUCACCAGGGCAAUCUCUGUCCUUCAAUUGAAUAUUCCUGAAGAUGAAGGUUAGCGCUGCAAAAAAAAAAAAAAAAAAUGUGCAAACAUAGACGGACAUCAUCUGAAAACCCUAUUUGUAUCGUUGCUAAUGUCUAAACCUUUGACUUUUGCUGACCAACUAACGGGGCAACACAUAAGUUACGUGUCUCGAAAUAUUAGUUAACUCUGUUCGUCACAAAACAUGAAAAUCCAUCAACGUUACACUACUAAUAUCACAGAUGUUGAAAUUUAAAACAAUUACAGAAAUAAUAAUGGCUGACCCUUUCGAUUUUGGACAGGCUUCCAUCUUGUUUUGUUAUGACACCGGUUUAUACCACUAUCGACAGUAGUUUGAACGAUAUUUUCAAGCGUAAUUGGUUGAAGGGACGCUUUUUAAAACUAUCAAUACGCUAUGGAGCAAGGACACGUUUGAAUGACUGAUGAUCGACAUACCGGAUAGGAAAAUAUUGAGUAAGAAAACAGUAUCACAGUAAACCAUUACAUGAUGGAUUUCAUUCAACAAACGACGUAUGUCAUCUCCGUUAUUCUUGUUUUAAAUGCUAAAACCAGACCGGCUUUUUGUAUAUCUCGGUCGGCAUACAGCUUACAUUGAACAUAUUUUGUUCCAGUCGGACCAGAAUGUAACAAACAGCAUUCCGUUGAGUUUCGUUCUUGGGGACUGUUCUACUCUCUGGAACUAAAGCAAAAAAAUAAAAUUAAUUAAAAAAUCAAGUAAGGAUAUACAUUCUUACUUGUAUUCAGUUCCAGUGAAAAAAUCAAGUUCGUCGCAAAAGGGAUUUUUUAUAGUACAGACCGUAAAAAAAUAAUUGAAUAAAAUAAUGGAAAAGAGGAAUCACAAGCAAACAAA